UUGAUUUUUUGCCCUCUGUCAAAUGGGUCCCGCAUAUAAUGACCAAAAUAGCCAUGCUCCCAGAUUGACCAGGAACAGGAGAGGAGCUCUCGGUCGCUCGUCUCAUCCCCUUCCUCUCGCCGACAGCAACACCAGGAGACCGCGGCGGCUACUCGGUGGCGAGUCGCGCUUGGUUGUCCUCGACGGCCGACGGUCCUUGUCGUCCGCGACGACUACAUCCUGGUGAGUCGGCCACCGCGUUGCCGUGAUGUGCGUUGCCGCUGUGGCUUCGAUGACCACGGCUGCAGGGACGCGUCGUACAACGCGGCACGGACGAACUGACCCUUCCCUUCGUCGCCUCAGACAACAACAGCUCGUCCAUGGUGCUUUUGCAGGUCGUGUCACGCCGUCCCCGAGCAGCAUGGCCGCUGACUCCAUGCAGGUCUCCGGCAGCGAGGGCCGCCGCCCUCAUACUGCUCCUGCCCCGCGACGCGUCGUCUACCCUGAACCGUGGAUUAACAGCACCAUGCAGCCAGAGCCUGCAACUUUCUUUCUUUCUUUCUUUUUUGACGUUCUCAGAGCCUGCAUCUUGGUCCAUGGAUGGAUGCAUCUGUAUGAACAUCAUCGAGUGAUUCUAAGUUCAGAACAUCAUUUGGACAAUAAUUAAUCAACUCCUUACAUUCUUCUCUCA